GCUUGCUGGCGUCACUCGGCCAGCGCGUCACCAGGCUGAGCUGGAACACAGGCCUUGCCCCUGCUGGCUGCUGCUGGGCACUUGUCCUGCGCCCGUGGCCCUGUUGCUGGCCAACUGGACCAGGCAAGGAUCUGUCCAGGGCAGCCCCUGAGAUCUGCUCUGAGAAGAGCUGAGCCAAAGCGAUUCCUGGCUUGAGAGCCAGGGAAGAUGGGGACCACCGGGGUAGCAGACCCUGGCCAAUGGGCUGACCUCAAAGAGCCAGGAGGUCACUACAGGCCAAAUGCCCACUGAGGCACAGAGGAAACAGGAGCCUGAAUGGGGGUGGAGAAGGGGCAGAGAGCAGAGCAGCAGGUGGGGAAAAGCCCACCAGCAGCGGGUCGGUGGGUGAGAGCUCAGAGGCCCCCAGGCGCCCAGCUGCCCUCCAGCCCUGACCCUCCAGCCCUGACCCUGGCCUGCAGCAUCCAUGCUCUCAUUCCUGGGGAAACCCAUACAGGGAAAACUCACUAACACAGAGACAGGAGGCCAGAUGGGAGAACUGUCCCCUCAGCGUCAAUUCCAGGAAGAACCAUCACUCAGACACCCCAGCAGAGGCCCCGGCCACAGGAGGGAGUCAUGACGACAGACCCAAUGGGGAAGGACGGACGCUGCUUCUCCCAUGAGAAAUCCGCCGCCCCAGCAGCUCAGCCGGGUGUCUCUCCGGAGAUACCCAAGCAGGUUCUACAAGUCCUGAAGGGCACCCUGACCAGCUGAGUACCUCUGAGUAUCAGGAAGGCCCUGCAAGCGAGACGUGGGUGGGCGUGCAAGGCCUCGCGGCAGGGUGGGCGGCCCAGGGCCUGGCUUUGGACGUUUACUACCCAAACGCUCGUACAGGUUGUAAGAGGCAGAGAGAGAAGUGAACAGCUGUAGCGGCAGCAGGAGAGGAGGGAGGAGCCUUGCUGAGCCAGCCCCUCCCAUCCCUGGCCUCCUUCUCCCCUCCCAGACCCCCGCCAACACCGUCCCCCACUGGAACUGGUAGGCAGAGUCCGAGGCCAGGGAUCCUCAACAGAAGGGGUCCCCAAGAGCAAGGAGUGCUGAACCCCAGCGAACGCCCCAGCCUCCCACUCCCAGCAGCCAGGGUGUCACUCCCAGACCUGCGGGGGCGGGGAGGGGGGUGGUUUAUGCUCCACACUGUCACCUGUGGCGACUCCCUAGCCCUGUGUCCCUUGAAUGUGGACGGGGCAUGUGACACGCUUUGGCCAACAGAACACUGAUAAACACCUUCCAGGGGUGCCUGGGGGGUCCGGACGGUGAAGUGUCCGACUCCGGAUUUUGGCUCAGGUCAUGACCUCAGUGUCGUGGGAUCGAGCCCCACGGCGGGUUCCACGCUCAGUCCGGAGCCCGCUCGGCCCUCUCCUGUGCUCCUCCCCCACUCGCUCAAACUCACACUCGCUCUCUCUCAAGUAAAUCGAUAAAAUAUUCUUAAAAACAACUUCCAAGCAGAGGCUUCAAAAACCUCUCCCCACCGCCGGUUACCACAGGCCGGAGAGCAAGGGCGAGGCAGCGUGAGACGGAGGCGGAUUUCAGGCGGGGAAGACCGACGCUUUCGGAGAACGGACGGCCGGCGGCAGUGGCCACACGGCAGUGUGGACGUGCUCGGUGCCCCCGAACUGUGCAGGAAACUACCUGAAAACACUGAAAGUGACCCAAAGUGGACAGACGGUGGAGUUGAAACAGAAGAGCGACCGUCAAAGAGCAAGGGGGCAGCUUCGGAUCACACCAGAGAAGCCAACGAGGAGCAGAAAGACCAACGCCUGGAAAGGGAGGGCGGCAGAGGGGGCGCCCCUGCUUGUGUACGUGAACGGGGGCGACCAGUGGGUCUGCUUCCCCAAGACUCUCAGACGACCAGAAAUCACACAUCCUGUGAAAACCCUUAGUCUCAAACAAACCGGGACGAUUAGUCACCCGAGACCGGAUCCACACGGGUUGUGGGACUCAGCCCCGAGCUGCAUUUGUAGGGGACAGACCCAGACCGGCAUAAAGGACCACCAGAUGACCACCAAGCCGGGGCAGAAGUAUACACCUAUCAAUUAAUUAAAUGCCAAUGUCCCCUACAAAGCCUGGGGGGGCUCAGCAGGGGGUCUGCAUCUCCCUCUGACCCACACCCCCCAUGUGCUCUCUCUCAAAUCCAUUAAAAAAUAAAAGCUUAAAAAAAAACUGCUCAGCAGGGAGCCUGCCUCUCCCUCUGCCCCUCCUCUUGCUGGUUCUCUCUCACUCUCAAAUAAAUAAAUAAAAAUCUUAAAAAAAUAA